rnacentral:rRNA from 1 species
CAGCCGCCGCGGGAAUACGUAGGUGGCAAGUGUUGUCCGGAAUUAUUGGGCGUAAAGGGCUCGCAGGCGGUUUCUUAAGUCUGAUGUGAAAGCCCCUGGCUCAACCGGGGAGGGUCAUUGGAACCUGGGAAACUUGAGUGCAGAAGAGGAGAGUGGAAUUCCACGUGUAGCGGUGAAAUGCGUAGAGAUGUGGAGGAACACCAGUGGCGAAGGCGACUCUCUGGUCUGUAACUGACGCUGAGGAGCGAAAGCGUGGGGAGCGAACAGGAUUAGAUACCCGCGUAGUCCCUGUCUCUUAUAC